UGGGGAAUUGUUCGCAAUGGGCGCAAGCCUGACGACGCAACGCCGCGUGGAGGACGAAGAUUUUCGGAUCGUAAACUCCUUUCGAUCGGGAAGAACAGCUUUUGGGUUAACAGCCUGAGAGUCUGACGGUACCGAGAGAAGAAGCCCCGGCUAACUCUGUGCCAGCAGCCGCGGUAAUACAGGGGGGGCAAGCGUUGUUCGGAAUUACUGGGCGUAAAGGGGUUGUAGGCGGCCAACUAAGUCCGACGUGAAAUCCCAAAGCUUAACUUUGGAACUGCGUCGGAUACUGGAUGGCUUGAAUUCGGGAGAGGGAUGCAGAAUUCCAGGUGUAGCGGUGAAAUGCGUAGAUAUCUGGAGGAAUACCGGUGGCGAAGGCGGCAUCCUGGACCGACAUUGACGCUGAAAACCGAAAGCUAGGGGAGCAAACGG
rnacentral:rRNA from 1 species